rnacentral:rRNA from 1 species
GAUGAACGCUGGCGGCGUGCCUAAUACAUGCAAGUCGAGCGAACAGACGAGGAGCUUGCUCCUCUGACGUUAGCGGCGGACGGGUGAGUCACACGUGGCUAACCUACCUAUAAGACUGGGAUAACUUCGGGAAACCGGAGCUAAUACCGGAUAAUAUAUUGAACCGCAUGGUUCAAUAGUGAAAGACGGUUUUGCUGUCACUUAUAGAUGGAUCCGCGCCGCAUUAGCUAGUUGGUAAGGUAACGGCUUACCAAGGCAACGAUGCGUAGCCGACCUGAGAGGGUGAUCAGCCACACUGGAACUGAGACACGGUCCAGACUCCUACGGGAGGCAGCAGUAGGGAAUCUUCCGCAAUGGGCGAAAGCCUGACGGAGCAACGCCGCGUGAGUGAUGAAGGUCUUCGGAUCGUAAAACUCUGUUAUUAGGGAAGAACAAAUGUGUAAGUAACUAUGCACGUCUUGACGGUACCUAAUCAGAAAGCCACGGCUAACUACGUG